rnacentral:misc_RNA from 1 species
UGGAAGACGACGAUGUUGGGUAGUACGGAUGGUGGUGGUGGUGGGUGUCUGAACGCUGCGGUGGGCGUGAUGGUCUGUGGUCACCGUUCAGGCUAGUGCUUUGUUGUGUCGGUGGUGGCAUUUUCAGGGAAUUAGUUUCCUCCGAAAGUGAAAGUUGCCAGUCCUCUUUCCUUCUCUCUUCUCUUCCCUCUCUAGUCUCUCUGGUCCUUGGUUUCUCUCGCUACAGUACCCUCCUCUGCUCUUCAAGGCGGUGGAGACAGAGAGAGAAGGGGAAAGAAGAGUGGAAUGGAAAAGCCAGCGAGAUUGAAC